UACGUAGGGUGCAAGCGUUGUCCGGAAUUAUUGGGCGUAAAGCGUCCGUAGGUGGCUCUCUCAAGUCUGCGGUCAAAGACCGGGGCUCAACCCUGGAAAGGCCGUGGAAACUGGUGAGCUAGAGUGCGGUAGGGGCAGAGGGAAUUCCCAGUGUAGCGGUGAAAUGCGCAGAUAUCGGGAGGAACACCUAUGGCGAAGGCAGCUCGCUGGGACGUUACUGACGCUGAGACGCGAAAGCGUGGGGAGCAAACAGG
rnacentral:rRNA from 1 species